CACCUGUGUUUGUCUGUUUCUUUCUAUUGUUUUCUUGUCACUCUCCAAGCGGAAUCUCCAAUAUCCAAAGAGAGGGGUUGAUAAACCAGAGUCCCCCACCGGGGUUUUCUGUUCUCUGUUAAUAUCUGGUCAGAGUCUCAGCUGCUCGAGAGAAACUAAAGGAAGAGAGGAGUAGAGUGGAGGAAGAGACAGAAUAAGGGGAAUGGGUAUUCUGUACGAGGACGCUGUGGUCUUUAGGGAGGCAGAGAAGCCGGGGGAUCCCACUGUGAUUACUGUGAAUUGUCCGGACAAGACUGGGUUGGGGUGUGACUUGUGCAGGGUUAUAUUGCUUUUUGGCCUUAGCAUUUCCAGAGCAGAUUUUUCAACUGAUGGGAAAUGGUGCUUCAUAGUCUUAUGGGUGGUGGGUAAACCAACAACAAGGUGGGUCUUGUUGAAGAAAAGGCUUUUGGAGGUAUGUCCAUCAUAUUUUUUAACGUCAGGAAUGGACUACUACCAGUCGCAAAAUCAGCAAUCCAGGCAAUUACCAGACGUGUUCCUCUUGAAAUUUUGGUGUUCCUGUGAUAGGAAGGGUCUCUUGCAUGAUGUAACUGAGGUUCUCUGCGAGCUGGAACUAACAAUAAAGAGAGUGAAGGUAUCCACUGCCCCAGAUGGGAGAGUUAUGGACCUCUUUUUCGUAACAGAUACCAGGGAACUUCUACAUACGAAAAGGAGACAGGAGGAAACAAUCAAUCAUUUGAAAGCUGCACUAAGGGAUACCAUCAUAAGUUGUGAGAUUGAAUUGGCUGGCCCAGAAAUUACUGCGUGUUCACAGGGUUCUCCAUUUCUUCCUUCUGCAAUAACUGAAGACAUGUUCAGUUUGGAGCUGCCAAAUGGACGCCCGAGUGGAUCCUUUGCAUCCAACCCUGUAUCUGUGACAAUGGACAACACUCUCAGCCCCUCUCACACACUUGUUCAAAUCCUCUGCCAGGAUCACAAAGGUCUUAUCUAUGAUAUCAUGAGGACUCUAAAGGAUUACAAUAUUCAGGUUUCUUAUGGACGAUUCUUUGCAAGCUCAAAAGGGAGAUGUGAAUUAGAAUUAUUUAUAAUGCAAGCAGAUGGGAAAAGGAUUAUUGACCCCAACAAGCAAAAUGCAUUGUGCUCUCGCUUGAGAAUGGAGCUCUUGAGUCCUCUUAGAGUGGCUGUGGUGAGCCGGGGCCCUGACACUGAACUGCUGGUAGCCAACCCUGUAGAACUGUCUGGCAGGGGUCGUCCCCUUGUUUUCUAUGAUAUUACUCUUGCUCUCAAGAUUCUGAACACAAGCAUCUUUUCGGUGGAGAUAGGGAGGCACAUGAUCCACGGUCGGGAGUGGGAAGUAUAUAGAAUUCUUCUCGACGAAGGGGACUGUCAUUCCUUGCCGAGGAAGAAGAUUGAAGCGGGUGUCAGAAAUAGAUUGAUGGGUUGGGAGUAGAAUUACAUAUGGUAUCUAGUUGAUGUUUACCGUUACUGUACAGCAUACCUUCUUAGCCUUUUAAGUCUACUAAAAGUGAUGAGGUGCUAACUAGGUGUAAAUUGUAAAUCAAGAGAUGCAAAGGCAUUGCAUCCUUUCUUAUCAAGCCCCCUUGCGGUACUCUUGCAUUCCAGUCGGCUCUGGGGUUGGUGUUCGAAAUUCUAUGUUAAAAAAUCCAUGUAAAGGACCCAAAAAUGAAUCGGGAUUGGCUGCAAGACCUGCUUGUCUGCAAUUGCGAGAGGCCUUUUUGAGGCUCAUCUGAUCGCGUAGAUAUUCAGGUAACUUGAGAUUUGUUUGGGUACAUGGGCUCUAUUGGGGGCUUCUCUCAAUUGCUUGCCCAAUUGCAGUGCAAUCAGGGUGGGCAAUUGUAGAGAUGCUUGUCCCUCGAACAGGUAAUUGUAGAGAUCUUGGUCCCUCAAAUUCCAAACGAGAUUGGCUCUGUUUGUUAAAAUUUGAAGAAAUUUUACUUAA